rnacentral:rRNA from 1 species
UACGUAGGGUGCGAGCGUUAAUCGGAAUUACUGGGCGUAAAGCGUGCGCAGGCGGUCUGUUAAGACCGAUGUGAAAUCCCCGGGCUUAACCUGGGAACUGCAUUGGUGACUGGCAGGCUUUGAGUGUGGGAGGGAGGUAGAAUUCCACGUGUAGCAGUGAAAUGCGUAGAGAUGUGGAGGAAUACCGAUGGCGAGGCAGCCUCCUGGGCCAACACUGACGCUCAUGCACGAAAGCGUGGGGAGCAAACAGG